rnacentral:rRNA from 1 species
AUUGAACGCUGGCGGCAGGCCUAACACAUGCAAGUCGAGCGGAUGAAGGGAGCUUGCUCCUGGAUUCAGCGGCGGACGGGUGAGUAAUGCCUAGGAAUCUGCCUGGUAGUGGGGGAUAACGUCCGGAAACGGGCGCUAAUACCGCAUAUGUCCUGAGGGAGAAAGUGGGGGAUCUUCGGACCUCACGCUAUCAGAUGAGCCUAGGUCGGAUUAGCUAGUUGGUGGGGUAAAGGCCUACCAAGGCGACGAUCCGUAACUGGUCUGAGAGGAUGAUCAGUCACACUGGAACUGAGACACGGUCCAGACUCCUACGGGAGGCAGCAGUGGGGAAUAUUGGACAAAGGGCGAAAGCCUGAUCCAGCCAUGCCGCGUGUGUGAAGAAGGUCUUCGGAUUGUAAAGCACUUUAAGUUGGGAGGAAGGGCAGUAAGUUAAUACCUUGCUGUCUUGACGUUACCAACAGAAUAAGCACCGGCUAACUUCGUG